UCAGGAUGAACGCUGGCGGUCUGCUUAACACAUGCAAGUCGAACGCAACCUUCGGGUUGAGUGGCGGACGGGUGAGUAACGCGUGAGAAUCUGCCUUGGGGUCGGGGACAACCACUGGAAACGGUGGCUAAUACCGGAUAAGCCUUUGGGUAAAAGAUUUAUUGCCCCAAGAGGAGCUCGCGUCUGAUUAGCUAGUUGGUGAGGUAAAAGCUCACCAAGGCAGCGAUCAGUAGCUGGUCUGAGAGGACGAUCAGCCACACUGGGACUGAGACACGGCCCAGACUCCUACGGGAGGCAGCAGUGGGGAAUUUUCCGCAAUGGGCGAAAGCCUGACGGAGCAAGACCGCGUGAGGGAGGAAGGCUCUUGGGUUGUAAACCUCUUUUCUCAGGGAAGAAGCUCUGACGGUACCUGAGGAAUCAGCCUCGGCUAACUCCGUGCCAGCAGCCGCGGUAAUACGGAGGAGGCAAGCGUUAUCCGGAAUUAUUGGGCGUAAAGCGUCCGCAGGUGGCGAUUCAAGUCUGCUGUCAAAGCACGGGGCUUAACUCCGUUAAGGCAGUGGAAACUGAAUAGCUAGAGUGCCGUAGGGGUAGAGGGAAUUCCCGGUGUAGCGGUGAAAUGCGUAGAGAUCGGGAAGAACAUCGGUGGCGAAAGCGCUCUACUGGACGGCAACUGACACUCAGGGACGAAAGCUAGGGGAGCGAAUGGGAUUAGAUACCCCAGUAGUCCUAGCUGUAAACGAUGGAUACUAGGUGUAGCUUGUAUCGACCCGAGCUGUGCCGAAGCUAACGCGUUAAGUAUCCCGGCUGGGGAGUACGCACGCAAGUGUGAAACUCAAAGGAAUUGACGGGGGCCCGCACAAGCGGUG
rnacentral:rRNA from 1 species